CCUACGGGUGGCAGCAGUGAGGAAUAUUGGUCAAUGGGCGGAAGCCUGAACCAGCCAAGCCGCGUGCAGGACGACGGCUCUACGAGUUGUAAACUGCUUUUGUACCGGGAUAACACGCUCCACGAGUGGGGGUCUGCAGGUACGGUACGAAUAAGGGCCGGCUAAUUCCGUGCCAGCAGCCGCGGUAAUACGGAGGGUCCGAGCGUUAUCCGGAUUCAUUGGGGUUAAAGGGUGCGUAGGUGGGUGGAUAAGUUAGCGUGGAAAUACCGAGGCUCAACAUCGGGGCCGCCGUUGAUACUGUAGGACUUGAGAUCGCAUGAGGCAGGCGGAAUGCGUAGUGUAGCGGUGAAAUGCAUAGAUAUUACACAGAACCCCGAUUGCGAAGGCAGCCUGCCAGGGCGCAACUGACGCUGAGGCUCGAAGGUGCGGGGAUCGAACAGGAUUAGAUACCCUAGUAGUC
rnacentral:rRNA from 1 species